GACGAAGGAUGCAAGCGUUAUCCGGAUUCAUUGGGUUUAAAGGGAGCGUAGGUGGCCUUAUAAGUCAGUGGUGAAAUCUCUGGGCUUAACCCAGAAAUUGCCAUUGAUACUGUAGGGCUUGAGUAUAGUUGCCGUUGGCGGAAUAUGACAUGUAGUGGUGAAAUACAUAGAGAUGUCAUAGAACACCGAUUGCGAAGGCAGCUGACGAAACUAUAACUGACACUGAGGCUCGAAAGUGCGGGGAGCGAACGGG
rnacentral:rRNA from 1 species